UGUAAGAUGGGGAAGUGGGGCUAUAUGCAGGGGAAGUGGGGCUGUAAGCGGGGGAAGUGGGGCUGUAAGCAGGGGAAGUGGGGCUGUAGCUUGGUGAGGUGGGACUGUAGCUUGGUGAGGUGGGGCUGUAGCUGGGAGAGGUUGGUGAGUAUGAUGGACUCGUAGGAGAGUAAGCUGGACUGGUGGGACUAUAGCCAGGAGAACUAGGACUAUAUGUCGGAGAGGUGGGACUGUACCCAGGAGAAGUGGGGCUAUACCCUGGU
rnacentral:lncRNA from 1 species